UACGUAGGUGGCAAGCGUUGUUCGGAUUUAUUGGGUUUAAAGGGUGCGUAGGCGGCCCUGUAAGUCAGUGCUGAAAUAUCCCGGCUUAACCGGGAGGGUGGCAUUGAUACUGCAGGGCUUGAGUGAAGUCGAGGUAGGCGGAAUUGACGGUGUAGCGGUGAAAUGCUUAGAUAUCGUCAAGAACACCGAUAGUGAAGACAGCUUACUAGACUUCAACUGACGCUGAGGCACGAAAGUGUGGGGAUCAAACAGG
rnacentral:rRNA from 1 species